UACGUAGGGGGCAAGCGUUAUCCGGAUUUACUGGGUGUAAAGGGGGCGCAGACGGAAAUGCAAGCCAGAUGUGAAAGCCCGGGGCUCAGCCUUGGGAGUGCAUUUGGAACUGUGUAUCUAGAGUACUGGAGAGGUAAGCGGAAUUCCUGGUGUAGCGGUGAAAUGCGUAGAUAUCAGGAAGAACACCGGUGGCGAAGGCGGCUUACUGGACAGAGACUGACGUUGAGGCCCGAAAGCGUGGGGAG
rnacentral:rRNA from 1 species